CCCCAGUGCCACCAGUGCUGCUGCCCCCAGUGCCAGCACCCGGUGAGGGGGCUGGGGGUUCCUGGGAAGUUUGGGGGAUCCUGAGUGGGACCCGCAGCACUCCACGCUGUUCUGUGCCGAGUUUGGGGCCUGGUUGAGCUCCCGGGACCCCCAAGGAGCCUCUGGGGGCUUUUGUAGAGAAGCAUGGAAUUGAUGGGAAAUGUCUCCUUUGAAACGGAGCCGUCCCCUGACGUCCCACCCAACCCCACAGGUGAGUCCAGGUGGGACUGGGAGGGACUGGAAGGUGACUGGGACCCCCCAAACCCCACCUGGGCCUCUCCAAAAUCCACCUGGACCCCCAAACCACACCUGGGAUCCCCCAAACCCAACAGGUGCCCCCAAACCAACCGGGCUCCCCACCAAACUCCUGUAGGACCCCCCAAACCACAACUGGGACCUCCCGAACACACCUGGGACCUCCCAAAAUCCACCUGGGACCCCCCAAACUCACCUGAGAACCCCCCAGUCCUCACCUGAGACCGCUCAAACCCACCUGGGACCCCCCAAACUCCAGCAGGGACCCCCCAAACUUGAUAUACCUGGGACCCCCAAAUCCUCACCCGAGACUUCCCUGGGAUCUCUCAAAAUCUACUGGAGACCCUCAAAAACACACUUUGGACACCCCCCAAACCACACCUGCCCCCCCCAAACUCUCCUGGGAUCCCCAGUGCUCACCAGGGGACACCCCAAUCCUCACCUGGAACCCCCCAAACCCCACCUGGGACCCCCAAACUCCCCUGGGCCCUCCAAAACAUACUCAUGACUCUCCAAAACCCAUCUGAGACCCCCCAAAAUCCACCUGGGAGCCCCAAAACUCACCUGAGAACCCCCCAGUCCUCACCUGAGACCCCUCAAAGCCACCUGGAACCCCCCCAACCCACCUGAGACCCCCCCCAAAACCAGACCUGAGAUCCUCCAAAACAAACCUGGGAUCUCUCAAAAUCUACUGGAGAUCCUCAAAAACACACUUUGGACCCCCCCCAAACCACACCUGCCCCCUCCAAACUCUCCUGGGACCCCCAGUGCUCACCUGGGGACCCCUCAAUCCUCACCUGGAACCCCCCAAACCCCACCUGGGACCCCCAAACUCCCUCUAGGCCCCCCAAAACACACUCAUGACUCUCCAAACCCCAUCUGAGACCCCCCCAAAAUCCACCUGGGAGCCCCCAAAACCCACCUGGGACCUCUCAAACUGCACUGGUCCCCUCCCCAACCCUCAGGGCAGUACCCGGUGCUGCAGCAGAAGGAAUUUCAGGGCCGUGCUCCAGGAUGAACCGUGUGAGAAGGAAACGGCCCCGGGGCCAUGCCGGGCUCUGCACGCCGGGCGGGGGGGCUCAGGGGGCGCCUGGGGGGUCCCUGGGGGCACUCGGAAGUCACUGGGAGGGGACUUGGGGGUCCCGGUGGGUCACUUAGAGGGUGUCUGAGGGGUC